GCAUUUCAGCCGAAAGCUGAUUUGCGAACACCUCUUCUAUGGGGGACAGGGGUGGACUCCCUAGGAUGGCCGUAAGGGCCUCUGUCCUAUCAGAGGGGUGUGUGGGAACAAUUCCCUCACUCGAGAGAUGGAGGACUCGAGCAAUGAAGUCCUCCGAGAUGAAAACAGGGACACCCAUAACAGUUCCCUGGAUACCCCCGCUAACCCGUGCGACUGUACCAUAGAACUCCCUC
rnacentral:lncRNA from 1 species